rfam:Triticum aestivum genome assembly, contig: Triticum_aestivum_CS42_TGACv1_scaffold_406564_5BL
UUUCUACUCCCUCCGUCCGAAAAUACUUGUCAUCAAAAUGGAUAAAAAGAGAUGUAUCUAAAACUAAAAUACGUCUAGAUACAUUUCCUUUAAUCUAUUUUGAUGACAAGUAUUUUUGGACGGAGGGAGUAUUUG